rnacentral:rRNA from 1 species
AGUGAACGCUGGCGGUAGGCCUAACACAUGCAAGUCGAACGGCAGCACAGUAAGAGCUUGCUCUUACGGGUGGCGAGUGGCGGACGGGUGAGGAAUACAUCGGAAUCUACUUUUUCGUGGGGGAUAACGUAGGGAAACUUACGCUAAUACCGCAUACGACCUACGGGUGAAAGCAGGGGAUCUUCGGACCUUGCGCGAUUGAAUGAGCCGAUGUCGGAUUAGCUAGUUGGCGGGGUAAAGGCCCACCAAGGCGACGAUCCGUAGCUGGUCUGAGAGGAUGAGUAGGGACACUGGAGCGAAGACACGGCCAAGGCCCCUACGGGAGGCAGCGAAGGGGAAGUGGGGACAAAGGGCGCAGGUCGUGUAAAUCCAUCCCGUGUGGGAAAAAAAGGCGUUGGGUUGGUAAAGCCGGUUGUUAGGGAAAGAAAAGAAGAAGGUGAAGCUCCCUCUGUGCUGACGGUACCGAAAGAAUAAGCCCGGGCUACUUUCGUG